rnacentral:rRNA from 1 species
CCUACGGGCGGCAGCAGUGGGGAAUAUUGCACAAUGGGGGAAACCCUGAUGCAGCGACGCCGCGUGAGUGAAGAAGUAUUUCGGUAUGUAAAGCUCUGUCAGCAGGGAAGAAAAUGACGGUACCUGACCAAGAAGCCCCGGCUAACUACGUGCCAGCAGCCGCGGUAAUACGUAGGGGGCACGCGUUAUCCGGAUUUACUGGGUGUAAAGGGAGCGUAGACGGCAGGGCAAGUCUGGAGUGAAAGGCGGGGGCUCAACCCCCGGACUGCUCUGGAAACUGCCAGGCUGGAGUGUAGGAGAGGUAAGUGGAAUGCCUGGUGUAGCGGUGAAAUGCGUAGAUAUUAGGAGGAACACCAGUGGCGAAGGCGGCUUACUGGACUGUAACUGACGUUGAGGCUCGAAAGCGUGGGGAGCAGACAGGAUUAGAUACCCCGGUAGUC